UGUUUUCAGUUGAAAUCGUGAGGCACGAGUUGCCUCGGAGGAUAACUCGUCGAUUUAAUAUAUAAACGUUGUAGAAGAACCGGCACGGCAUAUUGUUGAAAGACCAUCGUCGACGAACCAAAGUUAACCAAAGUCAACCAUGAAACAGACCACGGUGUUACUGGUUUUAACCCUCGCAAUCUUUGCGUCGGUUUUACCCGUCACCGUCAGCGGCCAAUCAUGCAAAAGCAGUUCAAAGGCUUCGAGUCAGUCAAGUUCUGAAAACCAUUCAAGCUCCGAUGAUUCAUCCACCACUAUCGAUUCAACUUCGAGUGAAGAUUCAAAAUCCGGUAGCGAUUCAAGUUCUGGAGAUGAUUCAAAAUCCGGUAGCGAUUCAAGUUCUGGAGAUGAUUCAAAAUCCGGUAGCGAUUCAAGUUCUGGAGAUGAUUCAAAAUCCGGUAGCGAUUCAAGUUCUGGAGAUGAUUCAAAAUCCACUACCAAAUCAACUUCCGAUGGCUCUUCUAGUCUGCUUUCUACACUAGUGAAGAGCGCCGAGUCGGAUUUGGAAUCCAUUUUAAAGUGAAAGAUUGAAAAGAAAUCUCGCAACGAAAACUCGGCGAUGUCUCAUUUUGAUACUAAAUUUAUAACGUCCACCGACAUCUCCAUAAGAUUGUUUCAUCAAAAAUUAGAAUUACACGAAUCUCUUUGUGGAGCUGCAAUUCAAAGGCCCAAUAACAGAAUGUAUAAUUUAUUCGCGUCUACACGAUACAUGGUAAAUGAAAUUUUGCUGGUGUAAAAAAUUGAUCUGACAUAGUUAUCCUAUCCGAAAAGUGUUGGACCUACUUGAAACUAACUAGCUUUAAGUAACUCUACACUUGGAACCCGUUUUCCGGCAAGGUCGAUUCUCGAUUAGGUUAGAAUAUACAUGAAUUUAAAAUAAUUCCUUCACAUAAACAAUACGUGCCUACUCUGUAUCCUACAUAUAUCGACGUCUUGCGUAUGAAAUAGAAUUGCCGUUACAUGAAAAA